GGAAAAGAAAUUGAAGACUAUAUUUGACCGUAAAACCAGAAAGCAUCAACAGAUGCUGAAUUGGCUGUCUAAUUUUUUUUAACACCACCCAAGUUUUGUUUUAGGUAACACUAGAAUUUGCUAAAAAUAGCUACAAAAUCCCUUUUAACUUAUGUCAUAUAAAUGAAAUUUUUGCCAAUAGUGAAGUUUUAGUGGUAGAAGAAUAAAUCUUGCUUUGUAUUUUAAAAAAAGAAAAAAACAACACUGCUCACAUAGGUGGCAUGGAUCUUCAGGAGGACAGAGAUGAUGUGGGGCUCAUGGGUCAUCACUGAAGUAGAACAAGUAUAUUCUCCACUAGUAAUAGAACAAAUAAAGUUUUGCCAAAUGAUUUUUGCUACAGUAUUUUAUUUCAACUUACUCUGGUGAUUUUCAGUUUAAAGCUCUGGCCAACUUGUUCUUUUUUGCCUAUUGAUUGUCUACAUUUUUUGUAAGCCCAUUGUGUGAUUCAUGUAUUCAGUGUCUUCAACUUAAUUCGUAAGUUCAUUGUUUUAAAAUGAAGCAUGUCUUUUUAACCUUCCUAGGUUUUCAUGGAAGUUAUAAAAAUAAUAUUCAUCAGUUCUGUGCUGA
rnacentral:lncRNA from 1 species